CUGAACGCCUCUAAGUCAGAAUCCAUGCCAGAACGCGGUGAUACCACCCGCACGUAUAGAUGGACAAGAAUAGGCUUCGGCUUAGCGUCUUAGCAGGCGAUUCUUCCACGGCGCUCGAAGCGCGUCGUGGUAUUUCGCGUAUUGUAAUUUCAACACGAGCGGGGUCAAAUCCUUUGCAGACGACUUAGCUGUGCGAAACGGUCCUGUAAGCAGUAGAGUAGCCUUGUUGUUACGAUCUGCUGAGGGUAAGCCGUCCUUCGCCUCGAUUUCCCCAAUGGGUUCUCCGGAUUUCUGGAGACUUGUAGGGGUUGUGGGUUUUUUCGAUGUGUCGUCUCCGGACGGGCGGUGCAGGGUAGUCGAGUUAGACUUGGUGGAAUUCGAUUCCGUCGAGUAUGGCUGGCACGAUCGUGUGCGGUUGUGUGUUGGACGGUGCAGGGUAGGCUGCUUGGACAUGGUCGGUUCGAGGAUCGAUUCGAGGGCCGGCCUGUCGAUGAUGUGUGAUGUAUGCGGUCUAGGGUAGGCUGGUUUGUCUUGGUCCAAUUUGAUGUCGGCUCCCGUGCAGGCUAGAGUGAGGGGGGUCCAGGGUAGGUACAGGGUAGGCAGCUUAGAUUUGGUCGAUCUGGAGGUCGAUUCUCCGGCUGGUGGAUCUGACCCUGUCGAAACGAGAUGCGAGCGGUGUAGGGUAGGCUAGUUUCGUCCUCGCCAGGUUGCGAUUUGGACGAGAUAUGUGGUCUAGGGUAGGCUCUAGGGUAAGUAGAAUUCGAGUUUCGUCGCCGACAGUUUUCUGUGGGUGUAUGGUAGGUACAGGGUAGGCAAAACUCUCUCCGGCCAGUACUUGUCUGGUGGUCGUGAGUCGAUUUUUUUGUUUUGCCAUACUAUUGAAUUUUGCGGAAAUUCAAAAGUGGCUCGGGAGUCCCGCCUGGCGUGCGUCCGACUCGAACAUCGUCGGUGUACAUAUGAGAGGGAGUAAUCCGGCCCGGCCGGGGCCCAUCGCGAGCUGCCGGGUAGGUAAAAGUAAAAAAGUUGUUAAGAGGCGCGGUGUCGGCGUGCUUGUAUUUGCGGGAGAGAAUUAUCUGGAGGUGCUGGGUAGCCGGGAAGACUUGGACGGAUCUGGCCCGGGAAUGGGUCUGGGCCUGGAUUCUGGUGUGGUGUAGGAUAGGCGUAGAUAGAUGAGUGGUCUAGGGUAGAUACAGGGUAGCCAGAAGUCUGGUAUAUAGUGUGGGGGGUGUAGGGGGUAGGUCUGGACACCGUUUUCCACUUCGCCCUUCCCUUUACUCGAGGGAGGACGAUCUUGGCUGGGAUGGAGGUGUAGGGUAGGCUUAAUUUACGAUUACAUGAUCUGUGUCACUCUAGGGUAGGUGAAAAUCCCAUAUAUAUCUGAUCACAUUUGGAGAAGAGGUGGUUUGGCUGGUGAGAUGGACAAAAGUGCAAUGUAGAAUUAUAUGUGAUUUUGCAAAAGUGGGUGUGAAAUUGGGAAAUCGGUUUCCCCGCACAGAUGAGAGCACGUUUGAGGUGCCAUGAGAUGCACCUCUCCGAGACGACCUCAACGGUACCACCGAUGUGUUGGUCCGGCUCCUGUGCGGCCGUCCAGGGCGGGAUAUGUAGAGAAUGUGGUGGUGUAGGGUAGGUGGCCAGGUCCAGGGUAGGUUCUCCAAAUCCGUCAAUCCGGCUUGAAUCGAAGGACAGGUCUAGGGUAGGCCAGAGUCGGGUCUAGGGUAGGCAGCUCUCACCCUCGAAGUGGUCUACCCGGUAGUCAACUUCAAUCGCCUCUCACGGCCGCCACGGACCUCGCAUGACGACGGGACCACCACCAUCGGAUUUGCCUUGGUCGAAAUAGUCGGUAUAUGCACUUUUGCAAAAAUGCGUGCAAAAUGGUUUUGUGGUUUGGUGGUCGUGAGUCGAUUUUUUUGUUUUCCCAUACAAAUGAAUUUUGCGGAAAAUAAAAAGUGGCCCACGAAGCAGUUCUGGCGUGCGGCCCACUAAAACGGUCUCGGAGGGUAUAUGAGAAGGGAGCAAAUCCGGCCGAGCCUGAAAGGGUGAGGACAAACCGGGCGAGCAACCUCUCAGUAUCAGAUCUUGCAGACUUCCACUGCGUGUCCCUCUGUACAGCUUUGCAGGCUCCGGCCUCGGCAGCGGGGGGUUCAUAGUGGUCGUCGACCUCCACGAAACUGCACGCUCCGGCGUGACAGCGUACUGGGGAUGCCUGUGUAGAUGCAGUCCGGGCUUGCCUGGACCGCUAGCAGAUGGGCUCUGUGGAUGACUGGCCGCUGGCUAGACCUGAAACCUGAGCAACGGGAGGUAACCUCUCGCCGCGGACACCGGAAUGGUAGAAGCGGCGUGCUGCGUCCUCCUCUUGGGGCCCCUAAGCCACACCUCCCAUAGCGGGUUCGGUGCGGCGGACGGACGCCCUGGGGAAUUUAGAGGGGGAAAGCGGAUUGCCCUAGCGGUGUUGUUGGCCCUGCCGACCUCACUGCGAAAGGCGCGACUUCACCGUCGCCACCCAGUAACUUGUCUCUCCGGCGCUUCACGGCGCUGGUGGCCAACCCCGGCACACGAUAGUUACCUGGUUGAUUCUGCCAGUAGUCAUAUGCUUGUCUC
rnacentral:misc_RNA from 1 species